CAAAUAUGAAGACACACAAGCAUGAUUUAUUGAUAGAGCAGAAGCUAUUUAUAGUACCUUUAACUGUAUUAUUAAAACUGAAGGUAAAUAAUUAAUGGGAUGAAGGAAAGAUACAUACAACUCUGGCAGCUUUGAUAGGAAGCAUUCCUGUCUUGCAGUAAUUAAAAUAAAAUAUAUUCUAUUUGUAUGUCUUUCUGGCAAAAAAAGAUUAUAUCCCCAUUUCACCUGCAUGCUAAAAGACACUGUGUGUGUGGCCACAGAAGCUGUGCAGCCAGUGUGAGAGGAGGGAAAAUGCUCAUAGCUGUCUUGAACCAGAACCAUAAGCACUUGUCAGACAGUCUAAGCAGUCCCAACCUUUCACCCAAACACGUCCCAAGGCAAGCAGUGCCACGGCCUCCCUGCCUUACUGUCCAGCUGGGAGAAUGGAACUGUGUCCAUGGGGUGCACGGGAAACCAUUCCCAAGCUCAGCCCCAGGAAAACCUUGAAGGGGGAGAGAGAAAUCUGUUCACAGCACUGCAACUGCCCCACCCUUCUGAAACCAGUGGUGCUCUCAUGUGUGGCCUGAAGAUGAACAGAAAUCUAGAGAUUAAAGCGCUUUCAGUAAACAAAACAGAUAAAAUUUGUUUCUGGCUGCAUUUUUUCAGUAAUAUUUCAGCUUUCCAAAGGUAUUAAAAAAAACCAAAAAAACAACCAAACUGUGAAAAAGUUGUUAAUUUUUUACAGCAUCAGGGCACUUGUGGUGAGUCCUUCCCAGUGAGCCCACCAAGCCCCAGUGAGAUCUGUGCCUGUUCUCAUGCUCAGAGAAUUCUUUUCCCAGGUCUAUCCUCUCCAGUGCCUAUUGGUAUGUCAAGGGAGGGUGUCAGAGGAUGGAGCAGGGCCCUUCUUGAUGGUGCCAAGAAAUAGGACAAAUAAAGAAGGGGUAGAAACUGAUGCACAGGAAGUUCCACCUGCACAUGAAGAACUUCUUUGUUGUACCUGUGACUGAGCAUUGGAACAGGUUGUCCAGAGAGGUUGUGGAAUCUCCCUCACUGGAGAUACUCAAGAACCUGGAUGCAAUCCUGUGCCCUGUGCUCUAUGAUGACCAUGCUUGAGCAGGGAGGUUGGACCAGAUGACAAACUGUGGUGCCUUCCAAGAAUGACACAUUCUGUAAAGAAAGCUGAAAGUUGACCAAGCACUAAAAUCAAUAACCAACAUUAGAAUGAAAUCUUCUGCAAGUUCCGACAGUUCUCUCAUAGUUUCUAAUAAAGCCUGGCACGUAUUACAAGCAACCGGUC
rnacentral:lncRNA from 1 species